UACGGGGGGGGCAAGCGUUGUUCGGAAUUACUGGGCGUAAAGGGCUCGUAGGUGGCCAACUAAGUCAGACGUGAAAUCCCUCGGCUUAACCGGGGAACUGCGUCUGAUACUGGAUGGCUUGAGUUUGGGAGAGGGACGCGGAAUUCCAGGUGUAGCGGUGAAAUGCGUAGAUAUCUGGAGGAACACCGGUGGCGAAGGCGGCGUCCUGGACCAACACUGACACUGAUGCGCGAAAGCCAGGGGAGCAAACGGG
rnacentral:rRNA from 1 species